rnacentral:tRNA from 1 species
GCCUCUAUAGUUCAAUGGCUAGAAUUGCUGUUUUGUACUCAGCGGAUCUCAGUUCGAUUCUGAGUAGGGGCUCCA